rnacentral:lncRNA from 1 species
CCCAAACUGGGUGGCUUAAACCGAAAACACGUAUGUCUCACAGUUCUGGAGGCAGGCGAGUCCUAGAUGAAGACACUGGUAGAUCCAAUGUCUGGCAAGUACUCUUCCAGUUUUGCAUACGGCUCUUGACCUCCUUUAAACCUACCAAUCCCAGAGGCCUCACCUCCUUAUGCAUCUCCCUGGGGGUUAGAGUUUCAAUAGAUGAAUUUUGGGAGAACAAAAUGUGCAGUCCGUACCAUGGGGUUCAUGAUUUUUUUAAUGUGUGUAUAUUUCCCUAAUUAGACCGCAUGCCAAAAAGGAGGUACCCAAUCAAAGUGCGUUAAUGAAAAGGCAAAUUGAACCGAAAACAUUUAAAAUCAAUUUUUUUUUGCAAAUUUGAAACACACCAUGCAUUAUUAUAAACUACAGUCAUCAGGCUAUGCAAUGCUUCACUAAAACUUGUUCUUUUUGUCUGACUGACACUGUGGACCUAUUGACCAGUGUCUCCCCAGUCCCCAUUCUGCUCCCCACAGCCACAGCCCCUGGUAACCACCCUCCUACUCCCGGCUUCUACGAGUUCGGCACUUUCAGAUUCCACACCCAGAAAACUCCGACUCCACCAACACGAAUUAGAAGUGGCAGUCAGAGGACAUUGCUAUGAGAGGAAGGAGUUCGAGGAGCAGAGAUUAUCCCAGCCUGAAUGUGCCCUUCGUUGAUUUCAUGAUGUUGCGGAGGCAGAAGCCUGAGGUCAAAGUGUGGCAAUCACGCCCUCCUGGCUGCUGGGCUGCCAGAGUCCUCGCGUUCCUGACUGCAGCUGCACCACUUCCAUCUCUGUCUCCAUUAUCCCCUGUCCAUCUUCCCUCUGCCUGUGUCACUUCUCUUCCUAUAAGGACACUCGUCAUGUUGGAUUAAGGGCCCACUCUACUCCAGCAUGACCUCAUCUUAAUGUACAUCUUAAUUACAUCUUCAAAGACCCUAUUUCCAAAUAAAGGCAAACUCGCAGAUACCAGGGGUUUACAUUUGAACAUAACUUUCAUGGGGGACACCACUCCACUGUGCUUCCUCACAGCACAACGUCCUUGUGGCAGAGGGACUUCAACACAGCCUUGGCCCACAGGAGGGACCUCCAUGCAUAGGAAGCAGCAGGAUCCCCCAUGCAAAGGCCCAGCCUCAUGUCCAUCACACUCCACGGAGGCACAGCCCUUCCCAGACCCAAGGGGAAAGCAGAGGCCUCCCUCUGGGUGGGGACAUGAGCAAAGAAUUUGCCCCACUGCUAAUUAGCCACAGUCACUUGUUAUGAGGCAGGUCCCAGAGACACAA